rnacentral:lncRNA from 1 species
AUUAGAAAUUAAUACAUUAAAAGUUAAUUUAGGAUGAAACUCCACAAGGGUAUCCCACAAAUAAAGUGGAAUACCUAGCCAAUAACCUUUUCCUGGGAUAUGUGAACCUUUACGAAACUCAAAAAAAAGAAACAUGUCAGAACACCAAAUCAGGGUGCAAUCGAAGAUUACACCGGAGAAAUAUCACAACAAUAAAUAGGGUAGGAUGAAUAAUGCAUGGCUAUGAUAAAACAUAAAAAAAAAACAGAAUAGAAAAGUCAGCUACUGUCUCGUUCGCCUCUGCCUCGCCUAGCGAAGGCCACGGAUUUUGAAUUUGAAAACAGCCCCAUGUUAGGAACUUUGAAU